rnacentral:rRNA from 1 species
GAUGAACGCUGGCGGCGUGCCUAAUACAUGCAAGUCGAGCGAACAGACGAGGAGCUUUCUCCUCUGACGUUAUCAGGGGAGGGGUGAGGAACACGUGGAUGACCUAACUAUAGGACUGGGGUAACUUCGGGGAACCGGAGCUACUACCGGAUAAUAUAUUGAACCGCAUGGUUCAAGAGUUGAAGACGGUUUUGCUGUGGCUUAUAGAUGGAUACGGGUAGGAUUAGUUAGUUGGUAAGGUAACAGCUUACCAAGGCAGGGAGGCGUAGCCGACCUGAGAGGGUCAUCCGCCACACGGGAACUGAGACACGGUCCAGACUCCUACAGUAGGCAACGGUCGGGACUCUUCCGCGAUGGGCGAAUGCCUGACGGAGCAACGCCGCGUGAGUCAUGAAGGACUUCGGAUCGUAAAACGAUGUUAGUAGGGAAGAUCAAAUGUGUAAGUACCUAUGCACGUCUUGACGGUACCGAAGCAGAAAGCCACGGCUAACUCCGUG